rnacentral:rRNA from 1 species
CCCUUAGAUGUUCUGGGCAGCACGCGCGCUACAAUGGUCUUCGCAAACGGAUGCAUUCUCGAAGCAGAAUGCCAAUCUUGGAAUCUAUGCCUUGGUCGGGACAGUUGCUUGCAAUUUUUCGACUCGAACCAGGAAUUCCUUGUAAUCGUGAUUCAUCACAUCACGAUGAAUACGUCCCUGCCCUUUGUACACACCGCCCGUCGCUCCUACCGAUCGAAGAGUUAGGUGAAUUGUUUUGAUCGAUAAGAUUUGACUAUGGUCAACUCUCGUUGUGAAAUUCUGUGAAUCUGACUGUUUAGAGGAAGGAAAAGUCGUAACA